rnacentral:rRNA from 1 species
UACGAAGGGGGCUAGCGUUGUUCGGAAUUACUGGGCGUAAAGGGCUCGUAGGUGGCCAACUAAGUCAGACGUGAAAUCCCCUCAGCUUAACUGGGGGAACUGCGUCUGAUACUGGAUGGCUUGAGUUUGGGAGAGGGAUGCGGAAUUCCAGGUGUAGCGGUGAAAUGCGUAGAUAUCUGGAGGAACACCGGUGGCGAAGGCGGCAUCCUGGACCAAUACUGACACUGAGGAGCGAAAGCCAGGGGAGCAAACGGG